rnacentral:rRNA from 1 species
GAACGAACGCUGGCGGCAUGCCUAACACAUGCAAGUCGAACGAAGCCUUCGGGCUUAGUGGCGCACGGGUGCGUAACACGUGGGAAUCUGCCCUUCGGUUCGGAAUAACAGUUAGAAAUGACUGCUAAUACCGGAUGAUGACGAAAGUCCAAAGAUUUAUCGCCGAAGGAUGAGCCCGCGUAGGAUUAGGUAGUUGGUAGGGUAAUGGCCUACCAAGCCGACGAUCCUUAGCUGGUCUGAGAGGAUGAUCAGCCACACUGGGACUGAGACACGGCCCAGACUCCUACGGGAGGCAGCAGUGGGGAAUAUUGGACAAUGGGCGAAAGCCUGAUCCAGCCAUGCCGCGUGAGUGAUGACGGCCUUAGGGUUGUAAAGCUCUUUACCCGGGAAGAUAAUGACGGUACCGGGAGAAUAAGCCCCGGCUAACUUCGUG